rnacentral:rRNA from 1 species
GACGAACGCUGGCGGCGUGCUUAACACAUGCAAGUCGAGCGGUAAGGCCCUUUCGGGGGUACACGAGCGGCGAACGGGUGAGUAACACGUGGGUGACCUGCCCUUAGCUCUGGGAUAAGCCUGGGAAACUGGGUCUAAUACCGGAUAUGACUCCAUGACGCAUGUUGUGGGGUGGAAAGCCUUGUGCGGCUAGGGAUGGGCCCGCGGCCUAUCAGCUUGUUGGUGGGGUGAUGGCCUACCAAGGCGACGACGGGUAGCCGGCCUGAGAGGGCGACCGGCCACACUGGGACUGAGACACGGCCCAGACUCCUACGGGAGGCAGCAGGUGGGGAAUCUUGCGCAAGUGGGCGAAAGCCUGACGCAGCGACGCCGCGUGAGGGAUGAC